CAAUUGUCAGUUUUUCGUAAGUGGUGGUUCAAAGGGUUAAACUUCAAACGCAAAAUGUUCAUAUCUGGCAACACUGUACAUAAAUUUGGAGUUCGCUUUUGCCGCCGCCGAAACGGUUUUUCUUUGGGUGUGUAAGUGAGGCGACCUUAUACAAAGCCAAGUCAAACGUGUUUAAUCCUGAAAGUUUUCGCGAACGCAGUCAGAAUAGUUUUUAAACAGUUUUUUCGGAAAUUUCAAAGAGUCCGCUUGCAAAAAUACUAUCGCGACAUCAACCUGUGUCCGCAUCCGCUGAGGGAGUCGUCACAAACAAUCGGAGACGAACGGCCACGAUCAUCCGCGUGUGGACCAAACAAACAGACGGCGGUAACUCGGUGGCCACAAACGACGUCGACAUGGCACCGGCAAUUGCAAAGGAGUCCGCUCCUCUAACAGAUUCGAUGAAAAGGGGCGACCCAUUUUCUACGGAUGAAGUUCGAAAACUGCCGAGGAAGGUUAAGAGGAACGCCGCGUUCAGAGAUUCCACGAUCCUCAGCGUGUGCUAUCCGGCAUAAUUCACGACGACGCGGCCAGCUGACGUCGGCGAUUCGGUUGCUCACGGGUGCGGUAUCGAUUGCAGCAUCGGUUACACUUCUAGGCCUUGUGAAUUGUAAAUUUUGUUUUGUAAAAGUUGUGGAUUUUUAAAAAUAAAAAAAAAUGGGGAUUCACGGUGGAGUGGAGUGGGGAGUCUUAAUUUUGUAAAAAAAUCAUAUAAAAAG